CCGGCAAUAGCUCAGUUGGUAGAGCGUCCGACUGUAGAAGAUAUAGAUAUCGGAUGGUCCCUGGUUCGAUUCCGGGUUGCCGGA
rnacentral:tRNA from 1 species